AACCUUGAGCAGGGACAGCAUUCAAAAACCCUGGCUUCAGAUGCCUCCUUGAAUGUCUCAUUCUCCUGAACAAGGUCAAUGGUGACAGAUCUCAUCUCUGGCAGCAAGAGAGGAAUUAAGGAGAUAUCUCCUUCUGAAUGCUCUUGGUUGAGGAGACAGCUUGUAGCUGUUAGUUUGCUGGAGAUGCUGACGUGGAUGAACGGCUGACUCUGAGCUGGUGGUCGUGAAUUUGAUAGUUACAUAUGGAGAUUUGUGCUCAGUUAACUUUUACAUCCUCGUUGGGAAUGACUGGGGAUGUUUCACUCUGGGGUUAUAUAUGAAGAUUUUAAUCUGUGUCAUAAAUUCACCAUCAUGAUGCAGCUACUGGAGUAAGUGCAGAAGAGAGAAGGCAGGGUGG